rnacentral:rRNA from 1 species
UUGUCUCAAAGAUUAAGCCAUGCAUGUCUCAGUACAUACCGAAUUAAGGUGAAACCGCGAAAGGCUCAUUAUAUCAGUUAUGGUUCAUUAGAUCGUACUUCACAUUUACUUGGAUAACUGUGGUAAUUCUAGAGCUAAUACAUGCAAACAGAACUCCGACCGGAGACGGAAGGAGCGCUUUUAUUAGAUCAAAACCGAUGGGCGUCGGCGGCCGGCGCGAUCGUGCGCCGCGUCGUCGUCGUCGCAUAGCUCUCACGAUGAAUCUGAAUAACUUUAUGCCGAUCGCACGGUCAAGCACCGGCGACGCAUCUUUCAAAUGUCUGCCUUAUCAACUUUCGAUGGUAGGUUAUGCGCCUACCAUGGUUGUAACGGGUAACGGGGAAUCAGGGUUCGAUUCCGGAGAGGGAGCCUGAGAAACGGCUACCACAUCCAAGGAAGGCAGCAGGCGCGCAAAUUACCCACUCCCGGCACGGGGAGGUAGUGACGAAAAAUAACGAUACGGGACUCAUCCGAGGCCCCGUGAUCGGAAUGAGCACACUUUAAAUCCUUUAACUAGGAUCAAUUGGAGGGCAAGUCUGGUGCCAGCAGCCGCGGUAAUUCCAGCUCCAAUAGCGUAUAUUAAAGUUGCUGCGGUUAAAAAGCUCGUAGUCGAAAUUGUGUCCCGGGCCGCCGGUUCGUCGCUCGCGACGUCAACUGGCGCGCACGCGGGACGUCCAGCCGGUGCUCGAACCCGCCGACGGUGCUCUUAACCGAGUGUCCAGGCGGGGGCCGGCAACGUUACUUUGAACAAAUUAAAGUGCUCAAAGCAGGCUAAACUGCGCUCGCAUAAUCAGUGCAUGGAAUAAUCGAAUAGGACCUCUGUUCUAUUUUGUUGGCUUUUGUAGAACAAACAGAGGUAAUGAUCAAUGGGUGCGGAUGGGGGCAUUCGUAUUGCGACGUUAGAGGUGAAAUUCUUGGAUCGUCGCAAGACGCACCAAAGCGAAAGCAUUUGCCAAAAACGCUUUCAUCGAUCAAGAACGAAAGUUAGAGGUUCGAAGGCGAUCAGAUACCGCCCUAGUUCUAACCAUAAACUAUGCCAGCCAGCGAUCCGCCGAAGUUACUACUAUGACUCGGCGGGCAGCUACCGGGAAACCAAAGCUUUUGGGUUCCGGGGGAAGUAUGGUUGCAAAGCUGAAACUUAAAGGAAUUGACGGAAGGGCACCACCAGGAGUGGAGCCUGCGGCUUAAUUUGACUCAACACGGGAAACCUCACCAGGCCCGGACACCGAAAGGAUUGACAGAUUGAGAGCUCUUUCUUGAUUCGGUGGGUGGUGGUGCAUGGCCGUUCUUAGUUGGUGGAGCGAUUUGUCUGGUUAAUUCCGAUAACGAACGAGACUC